CCUACGGGAGGCAGCAGUGAGGAAUAUUGGUCAAUGGACGAGAGUCUGAACCAGCCAAGUAGCGUGAAGGAUGACUGCCCUAUGGGUUGUAAACUUCUUUUAUAUGGGAAUAAAAUGUUCCACGUGUGGGAUUUUGUAUGUACCAUAUGAAUAAGGAUCGGCUAACUCCGUGCCAGCAGCCGCGGUAAUACGGAGGAUCCGAGCGUUAUCCGGAUUUAUUGGGUUUAAAGGGAGCGUAGGUGGAUUGUUAAGUCAGUUGUGAAAGUUUGCGGCUCAACCGUAAAAUUGCAGUGGAAACUGGCAGUCUUGAGUACAGUAGAGGUGGGCGGAAUUCGUGGUGUAGCGGUGAAAUGCUGAGAUAUCACGAAGAACUCCGAUUGCGAAGGCAGUUCACUGGACUGCAACUGACACUGAGGCUCGAAAGUGUGGGUAUCAAACAGGAUUAGAUACCCCAGUAGUC
rnacentral:rRNA from 1 species